AUUGAACGCUGGCGGCAGGCCUAACACAUGCAAGUCGAGCGAGAAAGCCUUCGGGUGAGUAUAGCGGCGGACGGGAGAGUAACGCGUGGGAAUCUGCCUAGUAGUGGGGGACAACUUAUGGAAACGUAAGCUAAUACCGCAUACACCCUACGGGGAAAAGGAGGCUUCGGCUUUCGCUAUUAGAUGAGCCCGCGUUAGAUUAGCUUGUUGGUGGGGUAAUGGCCUACCAAGGCGACGAUCUAUAGCUGGUCUGAGAGGAUGAUCAGCCUCAUUGGGACUGAGACACGGCCCAAACUCCUACGGGAGGCAGCAGUGGGGAAUAUUGGACAAUGGGCGAAAGCCUGAUCCAGCCAUGCCGCGUGUGUGAAGAAGGCUCUAGGGUUGUAAAGCACUUUCAGUAGGGAGGAAAAGUUAGUAGUUAAUACCUGCUAACCCUGACGUUACCUACAGAAGAAGCACCGGCAAACUCCG
rnacentral:rRNA from 1 species